UCAACAGCCCCUUCUGCUUGAUCUCCAGCCCAUCCAGGUACUCAGGUCGACUCCCCGCAGCUCACCGGUGCUUGUGCGCGCCUUGCUUACUCGUGUUUGCUGGCCCCUCGCCGGGAACGACGAUGCCCCGACGCGGCCGCCGCCAUUGCUCGCCGCCGGCCGUGUUCCGCCACUGCUCCUCGAGCACAUCACCCUCCAUCGUGUUCAGUAGCUUCUGUAGGUCACUUUGCACCGGUCCAUCCCCACCUCGGACCUCUGUGCAAAGCCCUUUUUGUUAUUUCAUGUGAUUAGUGCUGUUG
rnacentral:lncRNA from 1 species